CUACGGGAUGCUCCAGUGAGGAAUAUUGCACAAUGGGGGAAACCCUGAUGCAGCAACGCCGCGUGGAGGAUGACGCAUUUCGGUGUGUAAACUCCUUUUAUAUGCCAAGAAAAUGACGGUAGCAUAUGAAUAAGCACCGGCUAACUCCGUGCCAGCAGCCGCGGUAAUACGGAGGGUGCAAGCGUUACUCGGAAUCACUGGGCGUAAAGGAAGCGUAGGCUGGUUGGUAAGUCAGGUGUGAAAUCCUACAGCUUAACUGUAGAACUGCACUUGAAACUACCAACCUAGAGUAUGGGAGGGGGAGAUGGAAUUAGUGGUGUAGGGGUAAAAUCCGUAGAUAUCACUAGGAAUACCGAAAGCGAAGGCGAUCUCCUGGAACAUAACUGACGCUAAGGCGUGAAAGCGUGGGGAGCAAACAGGAUUAGAUACCCCAGUAGUC
rnacentral:rRNA from 1 species